UACGGAGGGUGCAAGCGUUAUCCGGAUUUACUGGGUUUAAAGGGUGCGUAGGCGGGCAGGUAAGUCAGUGGUGAAAUCUUCGAGCUUAACUCGGAAACUGCCUUUGAUACUAUCUGUCUUGAAUAUUGUGGAGGUAAGCGGAAUAUGUCAUGUAGCGGUGAAAAUGCUUAGAUAUGACAUAGAACACCUAUUGCGAAGGCAGCUUACUACGCAUAUAUUGACGCUGAGGCACGAAAGCGUGGGGAUCAAACAGG
rnacentral:rRNA from 1 species